UACAGAGGCCUCGAGCGUUAGGCGGAAUCACUGGGCUUAAAGCGUGUGUAGGCGGACUUCUAAGUACCUUGUGAAAUCCCACGGCUUACCCGUGGAACUGCUCGGUAUACUGGGAGUCUUGAGCCACCUAGGGGCGAGUGGAACAAAUGGUGGAGCGGUGAAAUGACGUAGAUAUCAUUUGGAACGCCAAUGGUGAAAACAACUCGCUGGGGGUGUGCUGACGCUGAGACACGAAAGCCAGGGGAGCGAACGGG
rnacentral:rRNA from 1 species